ACCAAGCGGCCCUAACCUGUUAGACGAACCUUUGAAAGACUUCAUAGUGAUCCCUGCCGACCUACCUUGGUAGUGGGUUACGAGGCUGAUCACCUCAGGCGAAAGGGUAAAUCAUGACUCAUGGGUAAAGAUGUACAACCUCUGCAGAGUGUUAAAAACUGGUAUACUAGCCGUGCUCACGGUCACGAGCGGCCUUGGGUACUCUUACAUUAAGGGUGAUGAAUCUUGUGUUAAGAAACUUAUUGAUUAUUGUUUAAUGCUCUAUAUUAUUUAUGUCACAUUGAUCAUGAGAUUGUGGGAUCUAUACAAUCUAGUUGUUAUGCUUGUGGAGUUCAUCUUGGACUCACUCUUGCUAUCUCCCCCACACCUCAGGAGAAGUAUUGGGCUUGUGAUCAACCAGUCAGUUGGAUCCUGUAGAGUGAAGUUAACACCUGAAGUUUGGAGUUAUAUUCCGUGGUUUGCUGCCUAAGGUUGUUUCUGAUUUACUAUGUACGCUAUGUAUUUUAUGCGUUGUCCUUUGAUAUUACCCCUUAUUUGUAGUUAUAUGUGAGGCUUGUCUUCUAAAACUCACAUAUGGUGCAUAUCUGAUUUUGUUCUUAAAAUCGGGUGUUACAAAGUGGUAUCAAAGCAAUGCUGACUGUAGGACGCAAGCCUAGUUAGAACCGGGCAUUUUAGCAUUCCUCUAUCUCUACUUACUUCUUGCUCUCACCUUAACCUUGAUAGUUGCUAAAAAUUAUGCUUACCUCUGCCCUAUUCUAUUAUAAAAACUUUGUCUCUAUUAUAAAUCCAUCCACCUUGUCUAUUUAGAUGGCUCAUAACGAGGAGACCUUUGGCAUGCAUGAACAAAAGGACUCAGAGAUGCCACCCAUAAAAGCUUUCGACAAGGAGAAGCUUCUAGCCAUGCAAAAGCAAGUAGUGGAAGGAAUGACUCAGAAUGGGAACUCUCAGUAGCGCAUCUCAGGACCAGUGAAGAGACAAGUAGCAGAAGCUUGGAAAAAUAUGAGAACCCAUGGAGGUGUUGGUAGUAAUACAUCGGGAUAUCAGGAUCAAUGCCAUUGUUGUAGGCAUUAUGGUCUUCCUUGUCUUCAUAAUAGGUCAUCUAAAAAGGAAGUUAAGGCAAAACCAAAUUGUGUGACUAAUGAGGAUAAGAAGAGGAAAGCAAAAUCACUAGAGCCAGCAUUGGGAAGCGAACAACAUUCAAAUCCUAAGUUGUCACAUUUAGCUUUGAACUCUGGCCAUGAAAACCCAAACCUUGGAGAUGAAGAAAUUUCUCAAGCUAACCCCACUGCUCAUGAGGUAUGCAUAGAUGGAUGGACCAUCACAUAUAAAGAGUUUCAACCUCGAAGGAUCAACCAAGUUAGGAAGAAAGCUAGCCAGCCAGAGACAAACCUUCAGAGUCAGCAGGCUGAUAACACACCGGGCAACACCUCAGUGGAAAAUGAUGUCACGAAGGAUCCAGCUAAGAAAAAAAUGUUAGCACUACUGACAGGAAGGACAUUAUGUAAACUCUUGUCCACAGAGGAAUCAAUAGAUGCAUCAUGAAAGUAGCCACACUGAGUUUAAGAUAUAGGAGUUUGUGCCCUUGUGUAAUAAAAACGCUAGUAGCGAAAGUCAAGUUUGUGUGCCUUGUGAACCUUUACUGCUUGGUUGAAUUGUCUUUAUGUUUAUGUUUGAUUUGGAUCUUUGUAAUGAGUGUAAUGAUCUUGUGAGUUUCUUCACAAUUUCAUUUACUUUAUAUGUCUAAGGCAUAAGGAUUAAUGACAUAAAUAGUUGGGUUUUGUUUUUUCUCUUGUUACCUUAUCCUGCCUUUCUGGAGUAUCACUUCUUUAUCAAUUCAUAUCUUUGAUCUGGCAUGAACAAAAAUCAUGAGAAAAUUUUGGAUGAUAGUGGACUUCAAGAUCAUUCUCUGACCGCAAGAAUCACCCUCAUAGCUUUUAUGGUUUGGAAGUUACAAAAAUCACAAGACGAUACAGAUGUGCUGUCAAGAAUCUGGACCAGUUUUGGUUGCCUGUUGUUUUGGACAAAUAUAACUAUAGAACUCAGAAAAGUGUUCUAUAGAAAAGUUUUAGAUAAGUUGCUAAGCUUUCUAACGGUAUAAGCUAUAACCCUAUUGGAUCAACAGAACAAGAGUUAUGUCUAUUUUACUGUGCUAGUGAUUUUCAUACCGCGAGGAAAUUUCAGGAUAUAUGUUUCAUCCUUGCACAUAAGUUCCUUGGGAUGUCAAAAAGGUCUCAAUGCAAGAUAACUGGUCAAGAAAAAGUGCAAGCUACCUUCCUUGUGCCUCCUAGUUGACCUUUCUUAAGGGGGUAGUACCUUGAUAUCACGGGUUGAUGCAUUUUCAACUUAUCUUGAAGUGAGAGUUGUCUCUUGAGAUAUUCUAUGAUUAUGAUCAUCUCUCCUUCUCGUGAUACUGACGUUGGUCACCUGAUGAUAGGGAGUGUAGUAUCCCAUAGAUCAGGAGACCUAUAUGAUGCCCCUUACUGAUACGUGGGAAAAGAAUGAUGAUCCUACCCUUGAAGGAGGUUAUGAGUAUGAUGAAACUGAGUACUAUCAAAAUAAUGAUACUGAAGAGCAAGUUGGAAGUGAAUCAAAUCAGAAUCCACAAUGGCGAAAGAGAAAAAGGAAAAAACGUAAGAAGUCUGCUCAUGGAAGUAAGGUGCAACGAGACUAUAUCAAUGGAAGACUGAGCAAUGUGGAUAGGCAUAACAUUCAUGGAGCUACCAAAGUGGUUGGCGGCUAUAUUCAAGUAGACUCAGUGCAAGUUUUUGCUCUGUUUGACCCGGGUGCUUCGCAUUCUUUCAUUUCUGCCGACUUGGUAAAGACGAUCGAGCGAGUGAAGUGCCCAACGAGGAAGCCCUUGUCAGUGCAUACCCCAAUGGGAGAAAUACAAGCAGAUCAGGUUUGCUCAAAUGUCAAUCUUGUCAUAAGUGAGGAAAACUUCACUGCAAACCUCAUUGUGAUAGAGUUACUUGAUAUUCCCUUAGUCCUUGGUAAUGGAUGGUUGUGUGCACACAAAGGAGUGAUCCACGGUACCCAGUACAAAAUGCUUUUAACAGCACCGUCAGGAAAAAGAAUUGAGUAUCAUGGUGGUCCACCGCUACCUGAGGAGGCAAAUGCAUAUUAAGUUUCCGUGUCUUUUGGAGUUGUAAGCUAAAAGAAAUUAGUAGUCAAGAUGGACUUUGGUCAGUUAUGAAUAAUAGUUAUUCAAUGGAAAUUAUGUUCACGAGGUGUGACCUUGAGGUAUAAGUGUUUGCAUUUGGUAUGCAAGUUGUGAAGUUGAAAGGAUUAUCAAGAUAUUUUCCUAUUUCUCUCAGAGGAUCUGAGCCUCUUUCGAAUCUCGAGGACGAGAUUCAUUUUAAGGGAGGUAGAAUUGUAACACCCUAAAAAUUCCCUUCCUUAAAAUAGUUGAAAUUUGAUUUAUUGUGUCAAUUUUGUGAGCAUCAAAAUAUAAGAAAAAUAAUAAUAAUAAUUUUAGAGAAAUUAAAAUUUAAUAUAACUUUAGAAACAUGUUGAUGCAUUCAUGCUGCAGCAUUUAUUUAUUUAUGUGAUGUGUGGAAUUUGUAAAGAGUUUUGAAUUCAAUUUUCAUUUGAAAAAUGAGUUUGAAAAAAAUUGUUUUGGAAAAAGAAAAAUGGAAUUCCUUUUCUUCCCCUCUCUCCUUCUCUCGGCCUGCUAGGCCCAAACCCACCCCGCGCCCCCCCUUCUCCCUUCCUGGGCCGCGGCCCAGCCGGCCACCCUCUCCCCCUUCUCCUCUCUCACCCGCUGACAGGCCGGGCCCGCCUGUCAGGUCCUUCCUCUUCCCCCAACCGCCGCCCCGUUUCUCUCUCUCUCCCUGGAACUGCCCAAGCCGAAGCCUCGCUCCCACGUUCGCUCCCACUCUCCGCUCCUCGCGCCUUGGCUUCAAGUGGAGAGCACCCGCUCGCCUGAGCGCUCCCUCCCCCAUUUCCCCCCUCUCCUCGCCUCCGUUUUUCGCCUGCUGCGCGCAACUGCCGACGCCGGAGCUCCGCCGCGACCCCUCCGCGCGAAAUCUGUCGUUCCGAGCCGUCCUUGCCCCGCUUCGCGCUGUGGUGAGCUUCCCCUUCUUCCCCGCUCUCUCCACGUCCAUUUGCCGAGCGAAAUGGGGUUCCCUAGUGCCCCGUCCGCGCUCGCCGGAGAGCUCCAUGGCCGCCGGCCAUGGAGCGAGCCGCUCGGCCCUUCCCCGGCCGCGAUUUAGCCCGGGUCGAGUUCGCCUUCGCCUCCUCUCUCUCUCCCGGAGCAAUUGGUUCGCGAAAUGGAGUUCCGCAGCGCCCGGACGCUCAACUCCGGCAAAGCUUUGGCCGGAGGCCAUGGCGCGCCGCCGCUGUUGCCCUGUUCCGGCCGGCCGGCGAGCCCCUCCCCUCUCUCUCUCAUCUCUGCGUUUAAAUCUCGGCCGUCCAUCGCGAGAUCAACGGCCGAGAGUGCUUCGUACCCCUUCGGGGGUAGUUUUGUUAAAGAGUCCCCCAAGAAUCUCGUAUUUGCACCGCAGACCUCGGCCAGGGAGAAAUUCUAGAAUUUUUAUAUUUAUUUAAAUCCGUUUAAAUCAUGCUUUAUUUACAGAAUUGCCACUGCAUUGUUUUGGCUAUAAAAUAUUUGUUUUAGCUCCGAUUUGACCCGUUCAAAUUGCGUUAGAUUCGUAAUUAAAUUCCCUAUAUGUUAGUACCACUGUUACUGUAGUUUGCAACUUUUAAAUUUCAGGGUUAGGUUUAAUUAAUAAAAUGCCUAUAGGAAAUCGCUGUAAAUUCGUAACUUGAUCGUUUUAGUUCUGAUUUUCGUGAUCUUCGUAUCUAUGUGAUCGUAGCAAAACGUAGGUUCUGUUUUUAAACAUUUUAUUUUGUUUUUGAUCUGUUGGUGUACUGUUCUAAUUAAAGGAUUGUUUGCUUCGUGUAUGUCUGUCUCCGAUUGUUGUGUGUUGAUGAUCGAUGAUCGAGUCUAGUCAGUGAGCUUUACUUCGGUAAUCAAGAUCAGAGCCUUGGAAGCAAGUAAGAUCAGCAGGACCAACAGGAGCAAUUGGAUCAAGGCAAGUAUAGCAUUUGGGUUUUAAUUCUAUGACCAUGAUCUUGUGACUAGAUUGAUAUAAAGCAACAAAUGAUAAUAAUGACUUUUUAACAACUUGAGGAUAUAUUCGUAAGUGAUAACCGAGAUGAAAGUGCAACCAUGAGGGCUAUAAUGGCUCUGGCUUUAGUCAAGUAUGAGUAACUUUUCUAGCUUGUUAGAGGUUACCCGUGUGGCGCAAAUGGGGGAUAGCAGACCGGGAUCCCCUGCGGGGUAGAAUCACAUGGACUGACUGCCGAAACCAAGCGGCCCUAACCUGUUAGACGAACCUUUGAAAGACUUCAUAGUGAUCCCUGCCGACCUACCUUGGUAGUGGGUUACGAGGCUGAUCACCUCAGGCGAAAGGGUAAAUCAUGACUCAUGGGUAAAGAUGUACAACCUCUGCAGAGUAUUAAAAACUGGUAUACUAGCCGUGCUCACGGUCACGAGCGGCCUUGGGUACUCUUCAUUAAGGGUGAUGAAUCUUGUGUUAAGAAACUCAUUGAUUAUUAUUUAAUGCUCUAUAUUAUUUAUGUCACAUUGAUAAUGAGAUUGUAGGAUCUAUACAAUCUAGUUGUUAUGCUUGCGGAGUUCAUCUUGGACUCACUCUUGUUAUCUCCCCCACACCUCAGGAGAAGUAUUGGGCUUGUGAUCAACCAGUCAGUUGGAUCCUGUAGAGUGAAGUUAACACCCGAAGUUUGGAGUUAUAUUCCGUGGUUUGCUGCCUAAGGUUGUUUCUGAUUUACUAUGUACGCUAUGUAUUUUAUGCGUUGUCCUUUGAUAUUACCCCUUAUUUGUAGCUAUAUGUGAGGCUUGUCUUCUAAAACUCACAUAUGGUGCAUAUCUGAUUUUGUUCUUAAAAUUGGGUGUUACAAAACUAAAAUUUAUAUAGAACAAAAAUUAUGAAGAAUAAAUGCGGUUGGAAAAAAAAUACCUGAAGGUAUCACAGGGUUUGCAUGCAAGUUGCUACUUUGCAAGGGACCUUUGACCUACCACCAUUGGUAUGUUGUGUGUCCACCGAUGAAUGUGGUACUAUUCCAUUUAUAGUAGUGGAUAUUUUUAGUCCCGAUGUCUACGACGUUGGAUCCGGAUCGAGUUGAGUUGGUACAUCUCUCACAUGGGUUCUGGUAAGGUGCAGUUAAUUAGCCGCCAAGAUCUAAACCAACCAGAGAUCACCAUCACUGAAUCACAUACUCCAAUAUGAAAAACAAAAAAAAUUCAGAUCAACACUUCUGUUAUCGUCCCCAAUGAACAUGAACAGUGGCUCCUCGCUUCUGUUUCGGUUUCUAUGUACGAUUACGGUACCGAACACUACUCACACAUGUGAAAAGCUUAUAAAACUCUGCUCUAAACUCAGAGCCAACUGUGCUUACAUAACAUAAAAAAGAUAUGGAGGUUUUCAGAUAUAUUGAUUGACUAGGUUAAUGCCCGUACGUUGUUACGGGUUUUAAAAUCCACAUACUCUACGUUUCUUCAUUGUUAUUUUAUUUUUUCUGUCUAUAUUCUUCCUUUUUUAUUUCUUUUUAGUUUUUGUUUUUUGAUUUUAUUUUAUUUACUAUCCUUUCCUUAUUCUUUUCUUGUUUUAAUUUUACCUUUUAUUUUCUUUUUCUUUUGGUUUUAUUUUUAUUGUUCUUCCUUGCUUCUAUUUGUUUUUAUUUUUUUCUUUUCAGAUUUUCUAUGUUUCUUCAUUCUUAUUUUAUAUUUUAUUUCCUUUUAAUCUUAUUUUUAUCCUUAUUUAAAUUAUUCAUUAAUUUUACUUGCUCUAUGCACUUUUUACCAUUUGUUAAUUAUGUUUGUUUUUAUAUUUUUUUCUUAGUAAUUUUAUUUUUUAUUUUUAUUUUCUAUAUAUAUGUGAUAUUUAUGUAGUAUAUAUUUAGUGUUCUAUAUUGUGUUAUAUCAUGUUUACGUAAUACAUAUGUGAUGUUCUAUGAUGUUUCUUACGGUGUUCACUUAGUACACAUGUAAUCUAUAAUAGAUGUGAUGUUCUAUAGUAUAUUUAAUGAUGUUCUAUGAUGUAUUUAGUGAUGUUAAUUUUCUAUAAAUAUAUUUACGAUAUUUAAAAAGUAACCCUUUGACAUUAUUUGAAAUUUUUCUCCAUUUUUUGUUUUUAUUUUUUUUCUUAUGCUUUUUACUCUAGAUUAUUAUUAUUAUUUUUAUCUAUGCCAUGUAUUUAUGUAUUAUUAUCAGUUUCAUAAACCUAAAACCAAAAUACUAUUCUUCUAAAUCGAUAACAUUUUUGUACAAAGACUGAACAUUGUCUGUUGAACCUAGAAUAUUGUUUCUACUUAAUAAAAUAAAAUAUUUUAUCUUUAUAAGAUAAAUAUUCAUUAAUAAAAUUUUGUCUAAAUAUAUCUAUGUGUGAUCUUGUUUUGAAGGAUUUGUUAUAAGAAAUUUAAUGGUGCAAUCAGAAUUUAAUUUAUAUCUCUAGUUUAGGAGUUAUGACUUUUUUUAAUUUGCUAAAACAAUUUUGCAUGCAUAGGUGAGUGGGGCCUAGGUUGAUGGAUAGCAUGUCAUCGUGCAGUAAAAAAGACCACCAAAGGGAUGAAAGUUGUGGAUGGGUCCUCUCCAUAAUUUUUAGUUGUAGAGAUAAAUAUUAAUUAAUAAAAUUUUAUCUAAAUAUAUCUAUGUGUGAUCUUGUUUUGAAGGAUUUGUUAUGAGAAAUUUAAUGGUUCAAUCGAAAUUUAAUUUAUAUCUUCGGUUUAAAAGUUAUGACUUUUUUAAAUUCGCUAAAACAAUUUUGCAUGCAUGGGUGAGUGGGGCCUAGGUUGAUGGGAUAGCCUAUCAUGGCUAAAAGAUAUUAGAGUUGUGGCUUCACCAUGGGUGUGGUAGAUGGGUCCUUUCUAUAAUUUUUAGUUGUAGAGAUUGAUUGAUCGUCACUAGCUAGCUAGGCUGGAUGAUUUUGGAAGAGAGCAGAAAAUCAUCAACAAUUUAUGUUUUUGAUUGAUGAAGGAAAACAAAAACCAAUGUCUUGCACUCCAGAACUCUAAAGCUGUCCAUUCUUAUCUACGUACGUACCAGUAUAACAGCUUUUUUUGCAAAGAUAAUUUACAACUGUGUGCAAAUUGAACCAUACACUACUACACAAAAUAUUUACCGCGACGGGCAAACUUGAUUAACUAAGGCGGUUAUCGCAACCGUCUCGGAUGAAAGGUCACAGUAAAUACGACCUUUUCCGAGGCGGUUGUUCGCCCGCCUUGGUUAAUCGCAUAGAAAAAACAAAAAAAAAGAAAACUCAUAGAUAAGCCCACUGAGCCCAUCCACGAGCCCACCGAGCCCAUCCAUGGACCGUCGCCGCCAUUGCUAGCUGAAGGAGCGCCGCUGGCCUCGCCCGUCGGAUCCGUCUCCCCGCCACCGGAUCCAGCCACCCCGCCGCUAGAUCUGGCUUGGACUGUCGUGCAUCCGUCGUAGGUAAGCGGGCCACCCAGAGAUCCGGCCACCCUCCAUUGGAUCCGGCCACCGCGUCCGUAGCCGAAGGAGAUGGGGGAGUAGGGCGCGCACUGGCGGUGGAGGAGCGCCGGGGAGGAAGAAGUCGCCGCUGGGAGAGGAAGAAGUCGCCACUGGGAGAGGAAGAGCCCGCCGCAUCCUCGGGCAGGCCCGCACCUGCACCCACGUUGCUCGCUG
rnacentral:lncRNA from 1 species